UACGUAGGGGGCAAGCGUUGUUCGGAAUUACUGGGCGUAAAGGGCGCGUAGGCGGCACGGCAAGUCAGGAGUGAAAGCCCCGGGCUCAGCCCGGGAAGUGCGCUCGAAACUGCGCGGCUCGAGUGCCGGAGGGGAGAGUGGAAUUCCUGGUGUAGCGGUGAAAUGCGUAGAUAUCGGGAGGAACACCAGUGGCGAAGGCGACUUCCUGGCCUGUUCUUGACGCUGAGGCGCGAAAGCUAGGGGAGCAAACGGG
rnacentral:rRNA from 1 species